AGAAAAUAUCAUGAGCUUUGUCCCAAUUUCCUCAUGAGAUACGCCCCUUUCUCAUGAGGAAAUUGGGACAAUCCUCAUGAGAAUUAUGGCUCAUGAGCCGAAAUUCAUGCGUACAAGAUCAUGAGAUCCGACCUUUUCUCAUGAGCCUCGACCCUGACUUUUCUCAUGAGCCUCCUGAUCUUGCCUCAUGAAGCUCUUGAUCUUUUCUCAUGAGCCUCAUGAGAUCAUGCUCGUGAGACGACCGCUCGCUGUCCAGACAAUGUAGGUUAUUUACGCAUGCGUGCCAAGGGAAAUAGUCGGUGUGGCUGUGCAGAUGCGCGUAUGGAGUGAAUUCGUCGCUGUUUCCUCGGUAAUUUACUUUUAACAGUUAUAUUUAGUCAACAACUAUAGUGAUACUCUAGCUAGUAAAGUUUCUCUUUGAUCUAGCUAUGCUUGUGCUUGUUGCUAGACACUUUGUUUACAGCUCACCAAAGCUCGUGCUCAUGGAAGCGGAUCUCCCGGAUAGAAUAAUUGAACCAGCGCUAACACAACGGAGAAAAAAGCAAACAUCAUUGAGACUGGGAGAUGUCACAUAGAGUUCCAGAUGACUUGAAGGGAAAUGGUCAAUAUUCUUCAUUGAAGUAUGACACACUAUUUAGGAGAAACAAUUACACAAGUUUACAAGAGACGAUGAUGCAAAUGCUGAAAUAUUGUACAUAUUUCUGUCUGUUGGAACCUAGCUGGAAGGAUGAAAAGUUUGAACAUGAUCUAACAGCAUCAGUUGUUCAUCCACUAAGAAAUGUUGGUCCUUGUGCUCUUGUUGAAGCAGCUAUGCAAGACGAUGUGAUCACAAACUGGCCGAUCGAGACCUGUAGUUAGCGCAAAGGCUAGAAUAUCUUGAGCUACUUUCUGUAAAUAGAUUACUUUGCAAGUGCGCAUCAAUACUUAAUUGUGAGGGGAGACAUGUAAUUGUUGAAACUCUCAAUGAUAUCGAAGUAGAUCUGUAAUCAUAGAGACCACGCUGCAUGUGAACUUAAUUGAUACAAAUACAACUAGA